rnacentral:rRNA from 1 species
UACGUAGGGUGCGAGCGUUAAUCGGAAUUACUGGGCGUAAAGCGUGCGCAGGCGGUUUGGUAAGUCUUUUGUGAAAGCUCCCGGCUCAACUGGGAGAGGUCAAGGGAAACUACCGGACUAGAGUGUGGUAGGGGAUACUGGAAUUCCUGGUGUAGCGGUGAAAUGCGUAGAUAUCAGGAGGAAUACCUAUGGCGAAAGCAGGUAUCUGGGCCAUCACUGACGCUGAGCUGCGAAAGCUAGGGGAGCAAACAGG